GAAGAAGAGAGCAGCAGCAGCUCAGAAUACAACAGCGAUGGAAGUGUUUUCAUUUGGCUUCUUUUAUAUUUAUUAUUAAUUAUCAUCAACAAAGGAAAAAA
rnacentral:ribozyme from 14 species